rnacentral:pre_miRNA from 1 species
GUGGCUGCCGGAUGGGUGCUCUCUACUAGUGCUGUGCAGAGGCUUUCGCUGAGGCUGCUGUAAGCCUGUAGGGUUUUCCCCUAGGCUAUGGAGCGGG